UACGAAGGGGCUAGCGUUGCUCGGAAUCACUAGGCGUAAAGCGCACGUAGGCGGAUUGCUAAGUCAGGGGUGAAAUCCUGGAGCUCAACUCCAGAACUGCCUUUGAUACUGGCGAUCUCGAGUUCGGGAGAGGUGAGUGGAACUGCGAGUGUAGAGGUGAAAUUUCGUAGAUAUUCGCAAGAACACCAGUGGCGAAGGCGGCUCACUGGCCCGAUACUGACGCUGAGGUGCGAAAGCGUGGGGAGCAAACAGGG
rnacentral:rRNA from 1 species